UAAGGAUAAUGGUUCAGAUCAAGAUGAUUGUAGCCUAUCUCUCUAUUUAACUACAUUUUCAAUUGAGGAAUAAGCAAGAAGUGGAGAAAUUCCUAAGUUUGUGCAGAAAAUAACCCGUGAAUUACGUUCCAUUCCCAGUGAAGAGGUUCCUAAGCUGCUACAAUAAUCAGUGAGUACAUAGACCGUGAAAGUAAUGCCACGCAGAAACUGAUAACAUAAUCUAAGAGAAACGAAUGAGACCAAGAGUAGGAUUCUCUACUAAACAAAGGAACGACAAAACGAACCAGUAAACCUGGUACCGACCAUUUAAUUAAUCGGCCAUGGAAUCAUGAUAAAUUGGUCGCAAAGUCGAGGGACCUCUUCGCGAGACGGUUCGGACCCCGUUUGGUCGCUCACUAUCUCAAUGGAAUCCAAUAAUUGCUCGGGGCAACUUUUAAAAAUCCCGCCACUUUCGCAGCAGCCGGCUCCGAUCAUUAAAAUUCUGAACGUCGUCGGGAAAGGACUAAGAGGAAAAUAUGCCAUAAUCGGCUAUUAGCAGUAGUUACUGGUAAUUGGUCGCAUUAGUCAUAAGCCUCUGUGUGUGCACCCUCAGACCGCGCGAGUAUUAAAUUUAUUUUCCAAAAGAAGAUUCACCACCCAACUUUAAAAACAUAAUUUAACUUAAUUUUCGUCGAUUUCACAGCUAUUUGUAAUACUAUUUAUU